AUGGCCAGCUUCGUUAACAAGGGCAAUGGUCUGAAUGUCCGAGUCAUGAGCCGGCACCUCGUUUCGGCCUCCGACUCUUCCAUCAAGGAGCACGUCCUUGGUGUGUCCAACAUUGACCUUCUCCAUGGCGCCUUCCCGGUGUCACUGGUCUGCAUAUACCCGAAACCUCCAGCCGGCGGCUUCCACGCCGUCGUUGCCGCCUUCGAGUCCGGGCUGCCGUCAUUGCUCAACCACUACUUUGCCCAUGCUGGGCGCAUCGUGGUGAAUCCCCGCACAGGCCUCCCCGAGAUCCUUUGCAACAACCAAGGUGCGGAGCUCAUCGUCGGCGUGGCCGAUGUCGCUCUGGCGGACCUGGACUUUAGCAGCAUGGACUUGUCCGUAGGUAAGAUCCCGCUGCCGUACCGCGAUGACGUCCCUCUGUCGGUGCAGGUGGUGACGUUCGUGUUGGGCUAAUUCUCUGUGGUGUGGGGCCACAACCACGUCCACCUGCUCGGUGACGGCCACGCGCUGCUCGGGCUCGUCGGCGGGUUUUCGGAGCUCGCGCGGACGGGCAGGCUCGCCCCGGGAGCCCGGCCGGUCCACGAUCGCUCCCUGUUUCGCCCGAGCUCCACGCCGUCGAGAUGCAGGAGCUCCUCGCUGGCCGCGUUCAUGCCUUUGACCUCCGAUCGCAUGCUCCGAGAGAUGGCGAGCCAACAAGACGGAGACGGCCGCGCGACGCGGGUCCAGGUGGUGUCCGUGUACAUGUGGAAGACCCUAGCCGCCGUGGUUGGUGCGGCUGACACGCGCUGCCCCAUGGGCUGGUGGGUGGACGGGCGGUGUUGACUCACGGCGCCAGAGCACCGCGCCCUCGCGACGAGCAGCUACGUGGGUAACGUGUCCAUGUUCGUCCUGGGAGAAGACAGCGUGGAGGAGAUCCAGCGCAAGCCUCUGCCGGAGGUGGCGUCCAUGGUGUGCGAACUGAUCAAUGCGCGCGCGUACGACGACCGCUUUCAGGAGGUGGUUGACCGGGUGGAGCAGCACAAGUCCGGCGCCACCUACAUGGACGCGUCCAACAUCGGGCUGGGCUACCCGACGGUGGCUGUGACGGCCUUCACCUCGUUCCCAAUGGACACGGACUUGGGCUUUGGCCACGCGGCAAUGGCGAUGACGACAACGUGCGGCAGGGGGCUAUGCUCGGGGUUCGUAUAGAUGGUGGCUACGCCUCGAGGCGAUGGGGCCUGGAUCGUCAGUGCAAGCGUGUGGCCGAAGCUCGCCGCCACGCUGGAGUCCGACGAGCUGCGUAUUUUCACGCCAGUCACAGCCGAGCACCUUGGUCUCAAGCUCAACGAAGGUUAA
rnacentral:rRNA from 1 species